UACGAGAGGUGCAAGCGUUAUUCGGAAUUAUUGGGCGUAAAGGGUGCGUAGGCGGCAUAUUAAGUCAACUGUUAAAUUUCCCGGCCUAACUGGGGUAAUGCGGUAGAUACUGAUGUGCUAGAGGGUGAGAGAGAGAAGUGGAAUUCUCGGAGUAGCGGUAAAAUGCGUAGAUCUCGAGAGGAACACCAAUGGCGAAGGCAGCUUCUUGGCUCAUUUCUGACGCUGAUGCACGAAAGCGUGGGGAGCAAACAGG
rnacentral:rRNA from 1 species